GCUCACGGAGUCUAACCCCAUUCUCACCCAAUUCCUUCUUUUAUUUCUAAGUUGAUUUUUACUUUGACUCCAUUUUUCUCAUUUCAUCAAACCCCGAAUCGACGAGGGUGGGAAUUUAAAGAUCCCCCUCCAGUCCUCCACCGUUACUAUCAAAUUGGGAUGAAAUUCGGCCCAAAUGCAUCCCAAAUGAACUAAAUUUUCGUUUUCACGCUGACUCCACCCAAAUCCAAUUGCGUUUGGUAUGGAAAACAAAUCGUACGGGCAAACAAACCCCACUUCACCGUCUAGGAAAUUAAAUUAAUAAUAAUAAUAGUAAAGCAAAGAUCCUUCUCUGCCCAUCCUUUUUUCCUCUGUUACAUUCCCAAAGCCGAUCCUCUCCAUUCCAAGCCCAGACCAAACCCGAGAUUCCGAGGCAGCGAGGAGAAGAAGAGGAGGAAGAAGAAAAGGCCGGAGAAAGGGGUUUUCUAUUUAUUUAUUUAUUUGUUUUUUCAAAUUAAAGUCUCCAACUUUAAUUUCUUAACAAUUUCUUUUGAGAGCAUGUACUCAUGGAUUUUUUUAUCUUUAAGCUUGAU
rnacentral:lncRNA from 1 species